rnacentral:lncRNA from 1 species
AGAAAAUGGUCCCAGUGGCUCUGGUCAGAAUUUGACCACUGAUUCAAUUUCUUGUUUCUAGUUUCUGGAAAAACUCUGAAAGGACUGCUUCAUGAUCUGUCAAGGCUGAUUUACCAUCUGAAUUAAUAAAAGUAACUAGAAACAAGUCUGUAACUGGAUACCACAAGAAGAUGCUCUUUGCCUGGCACUUCUGGUGGAUAUGAUGCACACUCUUCAAUUUUAAGUAUGUUGGCUCUACUGUAUUGAAAAGCAAGUCUUACCAUAAAACCAGGUUGCUGCAGUUUGUUUCUGUCCAGGUUGUGGGGGUGAGGACCCUAGUGGCUGGCAUCAAGGUAGGCCUCAGUUUCACAGACUGACCCAGUGCUCUGAGCCCAGAGAGCAUCCAGGAGAGAAGAUUUGGAGCAAGCCAGGGUCCUCUGGUGACCCAGCCUCUUCUGCUGUUUAUGAAGCCUCGGUGUCAAGAUCUAAGGCCAAGACCACCUGGAAGAAUAUUUGGGGGUUCAGGAACUCUUCAUUUACAAAAGAAGAAGAAGAAGAAGAAGAAGAAGCAGAAGAAGAAGAAGAAGAAGAAGAAGAAGAAGAAGAAGAAGAAGAAGAAGAAGAAGA